GAGGUGGCCGAUUAUAGGCCAUGCUCCAGGUGGCUCUGGGGCUUCUGCAGGCUUAAUCUUGUUAACAUAGGUGGUGGUACCUUUUGGGAUCCAUGGAUGGUAAAAGAUGAGAGCUAGAGCUAACAGACAACCAAUGGCUUGGAGUGUGAUGAGCUGGAGCUCCAUGGGUUUGGAUUGUUUGCUUGAGAGUGAGAAGAGGAGGAAGAGGGACUGAGGGGUAGCUUAAUUAGUUGGAUGACAUGGCCUAAGUGGUGAAGUAUCCAGUCAAUGCCCAAUAAUCCUACUUGCCGGGGCUUUCUAGGUGAAUUAGAAUUCCCUGGCCAACUAUUAAGAGUACUCACCUAUCAGUUGAUGAUUAAUGACAGUGGCCGAAUCAGCUGCCCACCUGGUUACAGGUGGGGAUUUAUCCAGUCAAUGCCCACCUGAUUGUAGUUUCUGCUUGUAGAGCAUGUGCCAGAGAUUUAUGGUCUAAAAAUCAGCUCUUGUCACAUAAUACGGUAACAGCCAAGAGCAGACUCAAAACCGUGAGGGAUUGAGCUCCUCUGCUGCCAGUGAAUCUGGCGGAUGCUGGCGGAGGUGAACACGUGGACGGUUAGAUCUGAGAACCCUUUCUUCUCCACUUCCUUCACUCGCAGACGGUGUGCACCUUAAGCAAAAUAACGCAGAGAUCAUUGAGAGAUGUCUUCGAUAUCUUCUUCUUCUUCUUCUUCUUCUUCUUCUUCUUCAUUCACACAGGGGAGGUGGUCGAGGAAGGUGAGUGGGAGAAGGAGCGACAUAGGAAUUUGUCGUCUCUUGCCGCUGGAGGAGGACUAUUUUUAAAUCGAAGCUCCAAUUUUAAUGAUUUCAUCGAGAGAUACAGAGAUUUGAAAGAACAAUCAAAACUAAGAAACGGGUUAGAGCAAUAUAUGCUACGGUUCUCAGCUAUUCAAUGGCGAUUAGUAGCGCACUGGUAGAAGUAGAGUUCGCCAAAUGCGAAUGCUGCAGAUUGACAGAGGAAUGCACGCCCACUUACAUAGCUAGAGUUCGUGAGAGGUACCAAGGCCGACGGAUCUACGGUCUGUGUGCCGAAGCCGUGAAGGACGAGAUUUUCGCAACGGAUAGGCACAUCAACGUCGAAGAAGCUUGAAUCGACACAAGAAGUUCAGAUAUUCGACUCCUCCGACUAAUCCCGCCGAGCAUCUGAUAUCCACCAUGAACCAACUAAGCCGGAGGGGCUCCUAGAUCUGACCGUCCAUCGACCUCCGAUGCCACCUCCGCCAGCCUCUGCUUGAUUCGCUGACCGCAGAGUAGCUUGAUCCCCUGGUAAGUGUGGACUUUUGCAUAUCACAACUUCAUCAACUAUGCUAGAAUGAUUUUCUUUUGCUAACAACGGGUAUCCAGGUCUUCGGCUUGACUAGUCCUGUAAACUCAUAUUGACCUCACAACUACAUGGACCGGAUCAUACCGAGAUUGAAUGAGAACCAUUCAGCUUUCACUGAAAGCAGUGAAAAACACUAAACACCAUGUAUGAAACAGUUGUUGUUAUUAAAUAUAGUAUUAUCAAUUUGAUGUA